UUCCCAUCAUCGAGUCAAAAACAGUCACGAAAUUCAGAAUCGAAGUUGCAUCUCUACCUAGACGUUCCGAUGUUUUCCAUCUAAAUUUACUCGUACAUUAAUCCAUUCCUAAACUCUGUUCAUUCAAAUCCAGUUUGUUUUAAAUGGCUAAAUCCCAGCCCCAUUUUGAAACUCACGACAACUGACAGCGUUGUAACGUUUGGAAACGACCUCAAUUUCAGAUGCUCUAUAAGUAACUAGUGCAACUCUUGCAAUGCAUACUAUAAACAACAGUCCCACUAGAAAAAAAUGAAUCAUUUGUAAACUCUAUCAGGAACCGUUCUAGAAUGACUUAGUAUUUUUAUUCCAACGGCAACUAAGAAGCGGCGGAAGCACGGACUGACUCAAUCUAAGGGUGAAAACAUUCCAACGAGAGAAAAGGAAAGAAAAUUACUACAUUUCUGAGAAUUCUUCUCAAUGAUUUUUUAGUCUGAUUGCAAGGUUAACAACUUAUAUCAGCGUACCCUAAACAUGGAAGUACGAUGGUGUUAUAUAUGUAAAAUGGAUACAAUCGUUUUUUUCUAGAUGGUUUUGAUAUUUUAGGCUAGAUGUUACUACGUUUUGGA